GACGAAGGAUGCAAGCGUUAUCCGGAUUCAUUGGGUUUAAAGGGAGCGUAGGUGGCCAAAUAAGUCAGUGGUGAAAUCUCGCAGCUUAACUGCGAAAUUGCCAUUGAUACUGUAUGGCUUGAGUAUAGUUGCCGUUGGCGGAAUAUGACAUGUAGUGGUGAAAUACAUAGAGAUGUCAUAGAACACCGAUUGCGAAGGCAGCUAACGAAACUAUAACUGACACUGAGGCUCGAAAGUGCGGGGAUCAAACAGG
rnacentral:rRNA from 1 species